ensembl:lncRNA
AGGAUUUCCAAGGGUUGUUUGAGUUGUACAUUAUGUUUAUCCUAGAUGCUGGCUUGAAAAUCCAACUUUCCCCUUGACCUUAAGUCUCCGUGGGGUGAACCACCUCUCCCGUCAUGAAACAACCGUGGUGGAAUGUUGUCCGCAAAGACGGGUGGAAGCCACAGCUGCUUGAGUGAACUGGCAGGUGGAUCCCGUUGUAGUUGGAUCUGGAUAUGACUGGAGCUGGGCCAACACCUUGACCACAGCCCACGGCAAUGCUGAGCCAGGAGGGACCCAACCAAGCCGCAUCAGGUUCCCGACUGCAGUGUGAGUGGAAUGAAAGCUCUUUGACUGCAGAGAGGUUCGCUUCUUCAGUAAUGCAUCAACUACCCAAAGGGCUUCCCAGGUGGCUCUAGUGGUAAAAAAAAAAACCUACCUCCUAAUGCAGGUGACCUAAGAGACCUGGGUUCAGUCCCUGGAUCAGGAAGAUUCCCUGGAGGAGAGCAUUUCAGCCCACUCCAGUAUUCUUGCCUGAAGAAUCCCAUGGACAGAGGAGCCUGAAGGGCUACAGUUCACAAAGUUGCAAGAGUCGGACACGACCGAGAGACUAAGCACACACAGACACGUACGCACAAUUACCC